CUCAGUCGGACCGAGUGACAAAAGGGCAAAACAACAUCCUGCAACACGGCUGCCGUUUGUAGGAGAAACUGCGAAACCAGGAGUAAAACAAACGAUUAUCCGCUUAAAUUUGACAUGUGGCCAAGAAUCGGGUUUCCUGACAUUUAUCUGGAGCUGAUUACCAUGCCGGGGAAAUGCACAAAGCAAAGCCUGAAAGCAUACAAAAGCUUCAACGCUUGGUCGUACUUCAAGUCGGGAUUUGUCUGGUUUUAUUUGUACAGCUGCCUCUCGUGUAAGGUAUGAGAGAAAACUCUUGGACUCCGGUUUACAGAACUUAGCGAGGAUGCUCUGUUUGGCCUUCUCUCUGGCUUCAUCUUCAGCAAAGCGCCAGCGACUGAGCUUCUUCCAGGAACUCGGUGGCGACCAUGUACUGCGGGUUAGAGGCCAGGACAAACUGCUGGAACAACUUUCUUCCCAAUUGGCUGUUCCUCACACAGUGACUCGUACUUCGUCCCGACUGAUGCCUGGAGCGCUGAGGACAUCCUUGGUUUGGGAAGCGCCAGGGUUCCAGGUACAACUGAACACCUCAAGCAUAUGCAUCCUGAACAUCCUCCACCCCUUGUGCCACAGCUCUUGAAGCAGUAAAAGUAUUUACACACUUGUUCGUAGACGGCACUAAGGGAAAGCAACUUAUCUGGUCUGAACCUAAGAGGCUUUAGUCUUGUCUAUUUUUAGAAGAUGCAAAGUGCCUGUGUGCAGUCAUUGGGCUGCUAGCAUGACAUGAGUUGGCAGGUACUGACCUUAACAAGUUAUGCCUGAUUAUAGCUUGUUAUGAGAUAAAGAAGCCAAUGCGUUGUGUGUAUAAUAUGUGAAGUAUGUUAUGAAGUAUGCACACUCCAUUGCUUAUUAUAGGAGAAAGGCUGAAGGCUUUACUAAAUUAGCCCUAAUUGGUUAAGUAAGCAGCCUAAGAUAUUAAUUUUCCUGACAUACUUUUGAAGUAGCUGUCAGGACAGUGAACGCUGUAUAGCUGCUGCUCAGAAGUACAAAUCUUAUGUGUACCCGGAGCUGUUAUGAAAUGUACAUCUUCUUCUUUUUCACUUUUUUUAA